rnacentral:rRNA from 1 species
UACAGAGGUCCCAAGCGUUGUUCGGAUUCACUGGGCGUAAAGGGUGCGUAGGUGGUCGGGUAAGUCUGAUGUGAAAUCUCCGAGCUUAACUCGGAAAUGGCAUUGGAUACUAUUCGGCUAGAGGGUUUGAGGGGGGACUGGAAUACUUGGUGUAGCGGUGAAAUGCGUAGAUAUCAUGAGGAAUACCAGAGGCGAAGGCGGCUACCUGGACAAUUGCUGACGCUCAGGCACGAAAGCGUGGGGAGCAAAAGGG